UACGGAGGAGGCAAGCGUUAUCCGGAAUUAUUGGGCGUAAAGCGUCCGUAGGUGGCUAGUCAAGUCUGCGGUCAAAGACUGGGGCUUAACCCUGGAAAGGCCGUGGAAACUGACGAGCUAGAGUGCAGUAGGGGUAGAGGGAAUUCCCGGUGUAGCGGUGAAAUGCGUAGAGCUCGGGAAGAACACCGAUGGCGAAGGCACUUUACUGGGCUAUUACUAACACUCAGAGACGAAAGCUAGGGUAGCAAAUGGG
rnacentral:rRNA from 1 species